rnacentral:rRNA from 1 species
AUUGAACGCUGGCGGCAGGCCUAACACAUGCAAGUCGAACGAGUGGCGGACGGGUGAGUAAUGUAUGUGCAACUGCCCGAUGGAGGGGGAUAACUACUGGAAACGGUAGCUAAUACCGCAUACCAUCGGAUGUGCCCAGUUGGGCUUAGCUAGUAGGUGGGGUAACGGCUCACCAAGGCGACGAUCCCUAGCUGGUCUGAGAGGAUGACCAGGCACACUGGAACUGAGAAACGGUCCAGACUCCUAAGGGAGGCAGCAGUGGGGAAUAUUGGACAAUGGGCGCAAGCCUGAUGCAGCCAUGCCGCGUGUAUGAAGAAGGCCUUCGGGUUGUAAAGCACUUUAAGCGAGGAGGCGUUACUCGCAGAAGAAGCACCGGCUAACUCCGUGCCAGCAGCCGCGGUAAUUC